rnacentral:rRNA from 1 species
AUUGAACGCUGGCGGAACGCUUUACACAUGCAAGUCGAACGGUAGAGGGGGCAACCCCUCGAGAGUGGCGAACGGGUGAGUAAUAUAUCGGAACGUGCCCAGUCGUGGGGGAUAACGUAGCGAAAGUUACGCUAAUACCGCAUACGAUCUAAGGAUGAAAGCGGGGGAUCGCAAGACCUCGCGCGAUUGGAGCGGCCGAUAUCAGAUUAGGUAGUUGGGGGGGUAAAGGCUCACCAAGCCAACGAUCUGUAGCUGGUCUGAGAGGACGACCAGCCACACUGGAACUGAGACACGGUCCAGACUCCUACGGGAGGCAGCAGUGGGGAAUUUCGGACAAUGGACGCAAGUCUGAUCCAGCCAUUCCGCGUGCAGGAUGAAGGCCCUCGGGUUGUAAACUGCUUUUGUACGGAACGAAAAGGUCUCUCUUACUACGGGGGACUCAUGACGGUACCGUAAGAAUAAGCACCGGCUAACAACGUGCCAGCCGCCGCCGUAA